UACGUAGGGUGCGAGCGUUGUCCGGAUUUAUUGGGCGUAAAGAGCUCGUAGGCGGUUUGUCGCGUCGGCCGUGAAAUCUCCACGCUUAACGUGGAGCGUGCGGUCGAUACGGGCAGACUUGAGUUCGGUAGGGGAGACUGGAAUUCCUGGUGUAGCGGUGAAAUGCGCAGAUAUCAGGAGGAACACCGAUGGCGAAGGCAGGGUCUCUGGGAAUGAUCCUGACGCUGAGGAGCGAAAGCGUGGGGAGCGAACCGG
rnacentral:rRNA from 1 species